CUGGUCCUGUCCGGAAGGGGCUUGCGCUGCGGGGCAGGCGUCGGGGGUUUGGGGCGAGGGGUGACGCGGCCGAGGCCUUAGACUCGGAGCUGACGGGCACCCCAGUUUCAGGUGUACCUCGAUGCCAAGGUAAGGACCGAAAGUGCCCUCGUGCCAAAUUGCAUGGACUACCACAAAGCCGAGUCAGGAUGACUGAGCGCUGCCACGCCUGGCACCGGCCUGACUGGGGAGGAGAAAGAGCCCGGGUGAGCGGAGAGGAGUGGCCAGAUGUUGGGGCACAGGCCUGCAGAGAGGAAGGGAGAGGGAGAGAGAGAUAGACACAUCAGUGAUGAGAGAGGAUCAUUGAUUGACUACCUCCUGCACACUGAGGAUGGAGAAUCAAACCAUGACCUCCUGGUUCAUAGGUCGACGCUCAAACCCUGAGCCACACCCCCUGGUCCUCUGUAUCAUAGGUGUUGAUAUCAGUAUCUAGUAGGGCAGCUCCUUCCAUCUUAUUCUCCUGGCGGCAUGUCUUGCCCCUUGUUGGCCUUUACUCCUUCACAUCAGUCUUCCAAAUAAAGCUCGUUCCAUAAACACA